GAGGGGACGGGGCCACGGAGCGGGACUCACGGCUCCAGCAUCGCGGCCGGCGCCCGGGGUCCGGAUCCACGCGAGGAUGCGGCCGCUGCUGGGAGGCCAGCCAUGUGGCCGCCCAGCCAUCGGCAGCUCUGUCUGGCCUUCCUGCUAGUCUGUGUGCUCUCCGCAGUCUCCUUCUUCCUCCAUAUCCACCAAGACAUCUUCCGACACGGCCUAGACCUGUCUGUUCUGUGUCCAAACCGCUACCUGGCGACACCUCCAGUGGCCAUCUUCUGCCUGUCGGGUACACCACUGGACCCCAACACCUCCUCUUCCUGUCCCCAGCUCCCUGCCUCCCUCUCAGGAACCUGGACUAUAUACCCAGAUGGCCGGUUUGGUAAUCAGAUGGGGCAGUAUGCCACCCUGCUCGCCCUGGCCCAGCUGAACGGCCGCAGGGCCUUCAUCCUGCCGGCCAUGCAUGCCACCUUGGCCCCGGUGUUCCGCAUCACCCUGCCGGUGCUGUCGCCGGAAGUGGACAGCCGCACGCCUUGGCAGAAGCUGCAGCUGCAUGACUGGAUGUCAGAGGAGUAUGCCCGCUUGAAGGAUCCCUGGCUCAAGCUCUCUGGCUUCCCCUGCUCUUGGACUUUCUUCCACCAUCUUCGAGAACAGAUCCGCAGUGAGUUCACCCUGCACGACCACCUUCGAGAAGAGGCCCAGAGUUUACUGAGUCAUCUCCGUCUGGGCCGCACUGGGGACCGACCGAGGACCUUCGUGGGUGUCCAUGUGCGCCGUGGGGACUAUCUGGAGGUUAUGCCUCAGCGCUGGAAGGGUGUGGUGGGUGACCAAGCCUACCUUCGGCAGGCCAUGGACUGGUUCAGGGCACGGUAUGAAGCCCCUAUUUUCGUGGUCACUAGUAACGGCAUGGAGUGGUGCCGGAAAAACAUUGACACUUCCCAGGGUGAUGUGAUCUUUGCUGGCAACGGGCAGGAGGGCGCGCCGGAGAGGGACUUUGCAGUGCUCACACAGUGCAACCACACCAUCAUGACCAUUGGCACCUUCGGCUUCUGGGCUGCCUACCUGGCUGGUGGAGAUACUAUCUACCUGGCCAACUUCACCCUGCCAGACUCCGAGUUCCUAAGGAUCUUUAAGCCAGAGGCCGCCUUCCUGCCUGAGUGGGUGGGCAUUAAUGCAGACUUAUCUCCCCUCUGGACAGCUACUGGGCCUUGAGAGCCGGGAAACUUUGUGGAAUAGUCUGAUCAUUCCAGAACCGGUGGUAUAUGUCUCCAGAGACCUAGCACCUUCUGGAGAAGUUUAUGGUGGUCCUGGAGCAGGUGGACACCCAUUAUUUCUAAAGCGAUUCUAGUUGGGCAGACUUGGAGAGAAAGGGAAGCUUUCUGGAACUGCCUGAACAUUCUAGAAGCAGCAGCAGAAUAUGUUGGCAAAUGUCUGGAGAGGCUCUUGGCAGUUCUAGAAGCUGCAGUGCCCACCUGCCCCUGUCUAAAUACUUCUAGAUGCAGCGCCCAGGAACAAGGAAUACUUCCUCUAGUGUUGAUCAUCCUGGUCUUUUCUAGAAGAGAUGUUAAUUCUCCCCUGGGUCCUCAGAAGCCUGAAAGAGCUCAUGAUGAAGCCACACUGAACAAGGCAUCCUGGAGUUUGCUGAAGGAUCUGAACCGAAUCACCGACAGUGAUGUAAAAGCUUAUUGUCCCAACAAAUGUGGUGAGUCCGGUUCGUGAAAGCUGGCCCUCUACCCUUCAUCCCUGCCCCUCGAAUACCCAAUCUCCCCCUUCCCUUCUUUGGAACCUGCUGUUUUUUUCAUUCUUCACGUCCGAGAGAUUCCCAGGUCUCCAAUACUUUUUGUCCACCUUCCAUUUCUGGGGGAGCGGGUCGUCUUCUACUUACACUCUUUACUGAGCCUUGUUUGAACCUGCUUCCUACCCAGGUACGUUCUGGCCCUGUCCCUCCUAAGGAUUUGUCACGUGACCCGGCCCCAGCCCACAGCCCUGCCCUCUCCUUUUAGUCCCGCCCUUCCACCGGCAAAUACAGCCUUGACCCUGCCCCUUCA